rnacentral:ncRNA from 1 species
CAGUUUUAAUGCUGUAUUACCGUUACCUAAUGGAAUAAGCGACUGCACAGAGCCUUUACCAAAUGAGGUUUCGCCAAUUAGCACUGCUCGUUGAUUAUCUCUUAAUGCUGCAGCGAGUAUUUCAGCCGCAGAUGCUGAGUUCUCGUUAAUAAGUAGGGCGAUAGGGGCACCAUUGAGUAUGUCACCCUUAUGCGCUUGAUACUUUUGAUUGGCUUCGUUGAAGCGACCUCUGGUUGAAACAAUAGUGCCGUUAUCUAAAAACAGAUCAGCGACUUCAAUGGCCCCUUGUAAUGUACCACCAGGAUUGUCACGUAA